GACGAACGCUGGCGGCGUGCUUAACACAUGCAAGUCGAACGGAAAGGCCCUGCUUUUGUGGGGUGCUCGUGUGGCGAACGGGUGAGUAACACGUGAGUAAACUGCCCCUGACUUUGGGAUAACUUCUGGGAACUGGGGCUAAUACCGGAUAGGAGCUCCUGCUGCAUGGUGGUGGUUGGAAAGUUUCGGCGGUUGUGGAUGGACUAGCGGCUUAUGAGCUUGUUGGGGGGGUAGGGGUUUCCGAAGGCUUUGACGGGUAGCCGGCCUGGGAGGUUAACCGGCCACCUUGGGACUGAGGUAGGGCCCAGAAUGGAACGGUCGGCAGCAGUGGGGAAUAUGGCAGAACGGGCGGACGCCUGAGGCAGCAGCGCCCGGUGCGGGAUAAUGGCCUUCGGGUUGUAAACAUCUUUCGCAGGUGAUGAAGAGUGCGUGACGGUAAUGGGUAAAGAAGCACCGGCUAACUACGUG
rnacentral:rRNA from 1 species